rnacentral:rRNA from 1 species
UAGGGAAUAUUGCUCAAUGGGCGAAAGCCUGAAGCAGCAACGCCGCGUGUGUGAUGAAGGCCUUCGGGUCGUAAACCCCUUUCGGCAGGGACGAAGGGAAACUGACGGUACCUGCAGAAGAAGUCCCGGCUAACUACGUGCCAGCAGCCGCGGUAACACGUAGGGGACGAGCGUUGUCCGGAUUCAUUGGGCGUAAAGCGCGCGUAGGCGGCUCGGAAAGUCGGGCGUGAAAUGCCGGGGCUCAACCCCGGGACUGCGUCCGAUACUUCCGAGCUGGAGGUAGGUAGGGGAGAUCGGAAUUCCUGGUGUAGCGGUGAAAUGCGCAGAUAUCAGGAGGAACACCGGUGGCGAAGGCGGAUCUCUGGGCCUUACCUGACGCUGAGGCGCGAAAGCUAGGGGGAGCGAACAGGAUUAGAUACCCUGGUAGUCCUAGCCGUAAACGUUGGGUGCUAGGUGUGGGCGGACAUCGACCCCGUCCGUGCCGAAGCUAACGCAUUAAGCACCCCGCCUGGGG